rnacentral:rRNA from 1 species
UUAAGCGACUAAGCGUACACGGUGGAUGCCCUGGCAGUCAGAGGCGAUGAAGGACGUGCUAAUCUGCGAUAAGCGUCGGUAAGGUGAUAUGAACCGUUAUAACCGGCGAUUUCCGAAUGGGGAAACCCAGUGUGAUUCGUCACACUAUCAUUAACUGAAUCCAUAGGUUAAUGAGGCGAACCGGGGGAACUGAAACAUCUAAGUACCCCGAGGAAAAGAAAUCAACCGAGAUUCCCCCAGUAGCGGCGAGCGAACGGGGAGGAGCCCAGAGCCUGAAUCAGUAUGUGUGUUAGUGGAAGCGUCUGGAAAGGCGCGCGAUACAGGGUGACAGCCCCGUACACAAAAAUGCACAUGCUGUGAGCUCGAUGAGUAGGGCGGGACACGUGGUAUCCUGUCUGAAUAUGGGGGGACCAUCCUCCAAGGCUAAAUACUCCUGACUGACCGAUAGUGAACCAGUACCGUGAGGGAAAGGCGAAAAGAACCCCGGCGAGGGGAGUGAAAAAGAACCUGAAACCGUGUACGUACAAGCAGUGGGAGCACGCUUAGGCGUGUGACUGCGUACCUUUUGUAUAAUGGGUCAGCGACUUAUAUUCUGUAGCAAGGUUAACCGAAUAGGGGAGCCGAAGGGAAACCGAGUCUUAACUGGGCGUUAAGUUGCAGGGUAUAGACCCGAAACCCGGUGAUCUAGCCAUGGGCAGGUUGAAGGUUGGGUAACACUAACUGGAGGACCGAACCGACUAAUGUUGAAAAAUUAGCGGAUGACUUGUGGCUGGGGGUGAAAGGCCAAUCAAACCGGGAGAUAGCUGGUUCUCCCCGAAAGCUAUUUAGGUAGCGCCUCGUGAAUUCAUCUCCGGGGGUAGAGCACUGUUUCGGCAAGGGGGUCAUCCCGACUUACCAACCCGAUGCAAACUGCGAAUACCGGAGAAUGUUAUCACGGGAGACACACGGCGGGUGCUAACGUCCGUCGUGAAGAGGGAAACAACCCAGACCGCCAGCUAAGGUCCCAAAGUCAUGGUUAAGUGGGAAACGAUGUGGGAAGGCCCAGACAGCCAGGAUGUUGGCUUAGAAGCAGCCAUCAUUUAAAGAAAGCGUAAUAGCUCACUGGUCGAGUCGGCCUGCGCGGAAGAUGUAACGGGGCUAAACCAUGCACCGAAGCUGCGGCAGCGACGCUUAUGCGUUGUUGGGUAGGGGAGCGUUCUGUAAGCCUGCGAAGGUGUGCUGUGAGGCAUGCUGGAGGUAUCAGAAGUGCGAAUGCUGACAUAAGUAACGAUAAAGCGGGUGAAAAGCCCGCUCGCCGGAAGACCAAGGGUUCCUGUCCAACGUUAAUCGGGGCAGGGUGAGUCGACUCCUAAGGCGAGGCCGAAAGGCGUAGUCGAUGGGAAACAGGUUAAUAUUCCUGUACUUGGUGUUACUGCGAAGGGGGGACGGAGAAGGCUAUGUUGGCCGGGCGACGGUUGUCCCGGUUUAAGCGUGUAGGCUGGUUUUCCAGGCAAAUCCGGAAAAUCAAGGCUGAGGCGUGAUGACGAGGCACUACGGUGCUGAAGCAACAAAUGCCCUGCUUCCAGGAAAAGCCUCUAAGCAUCAGGUAACAUCAAAUCGUACCCCAAACCGACACAGGUGGUCAGGUAGAGAAUACCAAGGCGCUUGAGAGAACUCGGGUGAAGGAACUAGGCAAAAUGGUGCCGUAACUUCGGGAGAAGGCACGCUGAUAUGUAGGUGAAGUCCCUCGCGGAUGGAGCUGAAAUCAGUCGAAGAUACCAGCUGGCUGCAACUGUUUAUUAAAAACACAGCACUGUGCAAACACGAAAGUGGACGUAUACGGUGUGACGCCUGCCCGGUGCCGGAAGGUUAAUUGAUGGGGUUAGCGCAAGCGAAGCUCUUGAUCGAAGCCCCGGUAAACGGCGGCCGUAACUAUAACGGUCCUAAGGUAGCGAAAUUCCUUGUCGGGUAAGUUCCGACCUGCACGAAUGGCGUAAUGAUGGCCAGGCUGUCUCCACCCGAGACUCAGUGAAAUUGAACUCGCUGUGAAGAUGCAGUGUACCCGCGGCAAGACGGAAAGACCCCGUGAACCUUUACUAUAGCUUGACACUGAACAUUGAGCCUUGAU